ACGAGAAGCUCUUUUCGGAGAGUGAGUAAAGUGGCGAACGGGUGAGUAGCGCGUGGGUGAUCUACCCUUUGGAGGGGGAUAACACGGGGAAACCCGUGCUAAUACCGCAUAAGCCUGACUAUUCGAAUAGUGAGGGAAAAGUAAUUUGCCGAAGGAGGAGCCCGCGUCCGAUUAGCUAGUUGGUGGGGUAACAGCUUACCAAGGCAACGAUCGGUAGCCGGUCUGAGAGGACGGACGGCCACACUGGGACUGAGACACGGCCCAGACUCCUACGGGAGGCAGCAGUGGGGAAUUUUGCGCAAUGGGGGAAACCCUGACGCAGCAACGCCGCGUGGAGGAUGAAGGUCUUCGGAUUGUAAACUCCUGUCAGUGGGGAAAAAGGGGCGCGUGCUCAUACCACGCGUCAUUGAUUGUACCCGCAGAGGAAGCCCCGGCUAACUCUGUGCCAGCAGCCGCGGUAAUACAGAGGGGGCAAGCGUUAUUCGGAAUUAUUGGGCGUAAAGGGCGCGUAGGCGGCCGUUCAAGUGGGAGGUGAAAUCCCUCGGCUCAACCGAGGAACUGCCUCCCAAACUGAAUGGCUUGAGUCCGGGAGAGGUGAGUGGAAUUCCCAGUGUAGCGGUGAAAUGCGUAGAUAUUGGGAGGAACACCAGUGGCGAAGGCGGCUCACUGGACCGGCACUGACGCUGAGGCGCGAAAGCGUGGGGAGCAAACGGGAUUAGAUACCCCGGUAGUCCACGCUGUAAACGAUGAGUGCUUGGUGUAGCGGGUAUCGACCCCUGCUGUGCCGAAGUUAACGCAUUA
rnacentral:rRNA from 1 species